AAAUUGAAGAGUUUGAUCAUGGCUCAGAUUGAACGCUGGCGGCAGGCCUAACACAUGCAAGUCGAACGGUAACAGAAAGCAGCUUGCUGCUUUGCUGACGAGUGGCGGACGGGUGAGUAAUGUCUGGGAAACUGCCUGAUGGAGGGGGAUAACUACUGGAAACGGUAGCUAAUACCGCAUAACGUCGCAAGACCAAAGAGGGGGACCUUCGGGCCUCUUGCCAUCGGAUGUGCCCAGAUGGGAUUAGCUAGUAGGUGGGGUAACGGCUCACCUAGGCGACGAUCCCUAGCUGGUCUGAGAGGAUGACCAGCCACACUGGAACUGAGACACGGUCCAGACUCCUACGGGAGGCAGCAGUGGGGAAUAUUGCACAAUGGGCGCAAGCCUGAUGCAGCCAUGCCGCGUGUAUGAAGAAGGCCUUCGGGUUGUAAAGUACUUUCAGCGGGGAGGAAGGGAGUAAAGUUAAUACCUUUGCUCAUUGACGUUACCCGCAGAAGAAGCACCGGCUAACUCCGUGCCAGCAGCCGCGGUAAUACGGAGGGUGCAAGCGUUAAUCGGAAUUACUGGGCGUAAAGCGCACGCAGGCGGUUUGUUAAGUCAGAUGUGAAAUCCCCGGGCUCAACCUGGGAACUGCAUCUGAUACUGGCAAGCUUGAGUCUCGUAGAGGGGGGUAGAAUUCCAGGUGUAGCGGUGAAAUGCGUAGAGAUCUGGAGGAAUACCGGUGGCGAAGGCGGCCCCCUGGACGAAGACUGACGCUCAGGUGCGAAAGCGUGGGGAGCAAACAGGAUUAGAUACCCUGGUAGUCCACGCCGUAAACGAUGUCGACUUGGAGGUUGUGCCCUUGAGGCGUGGCUUCCGGAGCUAACGCGUUAAGUCGACCGCCUGGGGAGUACGGCCGCAAGGUUAAAACUCAAAUGAAUUGACGGGGGCCCGCACAAGCGGUGGAGCAUGUGGUUUAAUUCGAUGCAACGCGAAGAACCUUACCUGGUCUUGACAUCCACGGAAGUUUUCAGAGAUGAGAAUGUGCCUUCGGGAACCGUGAGACAGGUGCUGCAUGGCUGUCGUCAGCUCGUGUUGUGAAAUGUUGGGUUAAGUCCCGCAACGAGCGCAACCCUUAUCCUUUGUUGCCAGCGGUCCGGCCGGGAACUCAAAGGAGACUGCCAGUGAUAAACUGGAGGAAGGUGGGGAUGACGUCAAGUCAUCAUGGCCCUUACGACCAGGGCUACACACGUGCUACAAUGGCGCAUACAAAGAGAAGCGACCUCGCGAGAGCAAGCGGACCUCAUAAAGUGCGUCGUAGUCCGGAUUGGAGUCUGCAACUCGACUCCAUGAAGUCGGAAUCGCUAGUAAUCGUGGAUCAGAAUGCCACGGUGAAUACGUUCCCGGGCCUUGUACACACCGCCCGUCACACCAUGGGAGUGGGUUGCAAAAGAAGUAGGUAGCUUAACCUUAGGGAGGGCGCUUACCACUUUGUGAUUCAUGACUGGGGUGAAGUCGUAACAAGGUAACCGUAGGGGAACCUGCGGUUGGAUCACCUCCUUACCUUAAAGAAGC
rnacentral:rRNA from 1 species